rnacentral:rRNA from 1 species
GGCUCAGGAUGAACGCUAGCUACAGGCUUAACACAUGCAAGUCGAGGGGCAUCACGUGAGGCAGCAAUGCAUCUGGGUGGCGACCGGCGAAUGGGUGAGUAACGAGUAUCCAACCUGGCCCAUACUCGGGCACAGCCCCGCGAAAGCGGGAUUAAUGCCCGAUGCGGCGUAUCUCCCGCAUGGGAAUUACGUCAAAGGUAUAAACUGGUAUGGGAUGGGGAUGCGUCCGAUUAGCUAGACGGCGGGGUAACGGCCCACCGUGGCGAUGAUCGGUAGGGGUUCUGAGAGGAAGGUCCCCCACAUUGGAACUGAGACACGGUCCAAACUCCUACGGGAGGCAGCAGUGAGGAAUAUUGGUCAAUGGCCGUAAGGCUGAACCAGCCAAGUAGCGUGAGGGAUGACCGCCCUAUGGGUCGUAAACCUCCUUUGCACGGGAAUAACCGCACCCACGUGUGGGUGCCUGCAUGUACCGUGCGAAUAAGCAUCGGCUAACUCCGUGCCAGCAGCCGC